rnacentral:rRNA from 1 species
CGGCGGGCCUGUCCCGUCUCCCCGUUCCCCGUCCCCACGAACAAAACCCCGGCGCAWGAUGCGCCAAGGAAUCGCAACGAGAAAAGGAACGUGCCCCCGUUGUGCGCCGGGAACGGAAUGCGCACGGGAGGCCUCGUAUUCUUUGAAAACAAAACGACUCUCGGCAACGGAUAUCUCGGCUCUCGCAUCGAUGAAGAACGUAGCGAAAUGCGAUACUUGGUGUGAAUUGCAGAAUCCCGUGAACCAUCGAGUCUUUGAACGCAAGUUGCGCCCGAAGCCUUCGGGCCGAGGGCACGUCUGCCUGGGUGUCAUGCACCGUCGCCCCCAUCCCCGCUCCCCYGAGGGGAGYGGGGAAGCGCGGGGCGGACAAUGGCCUCCCGUGCGCUCUCGCUCGCGGUUGGCCUAAAUCCGAGUUGUUGGCGGCGAGCGCCACGGCAAGCGGUGGUUGGAAAGACCCUCUGAAGUGUCG